rnacentral:rRNA from 1 species
CCUACGGGAGGCAGCAGUGGGGAAUAUUGGACAAUGGGCGAAAGCCUGAUCCAGCCAUGCCGCGUGUGUGAAGAAGGUCUUCGGAUUGUAAAGCACUUUAAGUUGGGAGGAAGGGCAGUAAGCUAAUAUCUUGCUGUUUUGACGUUACCGACAGAAUAAGCACCGGCUAACUCUGUGCCAGCAGCCGCGGUAAU